rnacentral:rRNA from 1 species
ACCCGCUGAACUUAAGCAUAUCAGUAAGCGGAGGAAAAGAAAACAACAGUGAUUCUCAUAGUAACGGCGAGUGAAGUGAGAAUAGCCCAACGUUAAAAGCUCCAUUGAAUUAUCAAUGGCGCAUUGUAACGUAUGGAUUCGCUCUCAAGGCAGUUGGUCGCGUGAAAGUUGUCUGGAAAGGCACGCCAAGGAGGGUGAUAGCCCCGUGUAACACGCAACUACUGGCUGCCAAGCAGGCGAACUCGUAGAGUAGGGUUGUUUGGGAAUGCAGCCCAAAUCGGGUGGUAAACUUCACCUAAGGCUAAAUAUAGACACGAGACCGAUAGCGAACAAGUACCGUGAGGGAAAGUUGAAAAGCACUCUGAAAAGAGAGUCAAAAGUACGUGAAACCGUCGAUGGGGAAGCGGACGGCGGAGUCGAAGUUAGCCCGACAUCCAGCAAAAUUGUGGUACUUAUGGUGCCUAAUAUUUUGUGCAUCUGUUUGGUUAACGCGCUGGGCUGAUUGCAUUUAAGCUGCUGCUGGUGAACUCAGCUUGUGGUAAGGGCGUUAAGGUGUAUAUCUUGAUGAACAAUUACAAGUGAAUGCCAGCAGUGUAGAGCAAAGGUGUAAUACGAGCUCCUUGUUGAGUAACACGUAUGUUACGGUAUUGUGGAUUCAUUUGAGUGUAUGCUAGGUCUAACAAGGCUCGCUGCAUGAGAAUGAAUUGCAGUAUGGUGGCGUACACACAGUGUUGACUCCCAGCGAGACACUGCGCUGUCCGACCCGUCUUGAAACACGGACCAAGGAGGCUAAUGUACACGCGAGUCAAGGAGUGGAAAAACUCCAAGGCGAAACGAAAGUAAAAGAUCAGAUCUCCGUUGUGCGUAAAGGAGUGCAUGAUUGGCCAGCUUCUAGGUUGCUAGUGGUUGAGCAGGAGCGUGUGCAGUAGGACCCGAAAGAUGGUGAUCUAUGCCUGAGUAGGGUGAAGUCGGAGGAAACUCUGAUGGAGGCCCGAAGCGUUCCUGACGUGCAAUUCGGUCGUCAAACUUGGGUAUAGGGGCGAAAGACUAAUCGAACCAUCUAGUAGCUGGUUCCCUCUGAAAUAUCCCUCAGGAUCGCCGGAGCCCAAGCAAGAAACAGUUUCAUCGGGUAGAGCGAAUGAUUAGAGGCAUCGGGGUUGUAGUAGACCUCGACCUAUUCUCAAACUUCGAAUCGGUGAUAAGUAUCUGUUGCUUGAAGUUUAUCGGUGAACAGGUACUGUUGAAUGUAGGGCUCCGAGUGGGCCGUUUUUGGUAAGCAGAACUGGCGAUGCGGGAUGAACCGAAAGCUGAGUUAAGGUGCCUAAGUGGACGCCCACGGACACCAUGAAAGGAGUCGGUCGAUGAAGACAGCAGGACGGUGGCCCUGAAAGUAGGAAUCCGCUAAGGAGUGUCUAACAACUCACCUGCCGAAUCGACUGGCCCUGAAAAUGGAUGGCGCUGUAGCGUUCCACCGAUACUCAGCCAUCGACACGAGAAAUGUGCUGUCGAUGGGUAAGAGGGCGCAACGGUUGCUGCGAAGAAUGCGACGUGAGUCGGUUUGAAGCGGCCGUUGGUGCAGAUCUUGGUGGUAGUAGCAAUUAUUCAAGUGAGAACCUUGAAGGCCGAAGUGGAGAAGGGUUCCGUGUGAACAGCAUUUGGACGCGGGUUAGUCGGUCCUAAGCGGAGGCUUACAAGCCAUGAAAGAGAGCUUUGAGUGAUACAUAGGAGCAUUGCUUUCGAGUGAGGCUUCUUGUGUUGCUUAUACACCGCUCUACACCGCGAAAGGGAAUGUAGCUAAAAUUCUACAACCCAGCUAUGGAUGAGUGUUUUGCAUUGAAGGCGGUAACGCAAGUGAAACUCAGAGACGUCAGAGGCAGUCCUAGGGAGAGUUAUCUUUUCUGCUUAACAGUCUGAAGCCCUGGAAUCGAGUUGAUCGGAGAUAGGGCCUAGAGACUGGAAGAGCGUCGCACUUUACGUGACGUCUGGUGUACUGUCUAUGACCCUUGAAAAUCUGAGGGAGCGAUUAUUUCCUAGCUGGUCCGUACCGUAAUCCGCAUCAGGUCUCCAAGGUGAGCAGCCUCUGGCACUAGAACAAUGUGGGUAAGGGAAGUCGGCAAAAUAGAUUCGUAACUUUGGGAUAAGGAUUGGCUCUAAGGGUUGAGUAUAGCGGCCUUUAACGAAUUGACUGCAGGGCCUGGAUGUUUGAUCUAGGUUGCGCUGAUGGGCCUAGCGGUUGAGGUGUUUGAGGGUAAUUAGGGCUGAGCCUUGGUUUGGUUCUAUUGCUAUACAAUUAACAACCAACUUAGAACCGUCGCUGACUCGAGGAAUCCGACUGUUUAAUUAAAACAUAGCAUUGCGAUGGCUGUAAACGGUGUUGACGCAAUGUGAUUUCUGCCCCAGUGCUCUGAAUGUCAAGGUGUGGUGACGCAACCAAGCGCGGGUAAACGGCGGGUGUAACUAUGACUCUCUCAAGAUAGCCAAAUGCCUCGUCAUCUAAUUAGUGACGCGCAUGAAUGGAUCAACGAGAUUCCUACUGUCCCUACCUACCAUCUAGCGAACCCACAGCCAAGGGAACGGGCUUGGCGGAGACAGCGGGGAAAGAAGACCCUGUUGAGCUUGACUCUAGUUUGAUUUUGUGAGGAGACAUGUGAGGUGUAGGAUAGGUGGGAGGCAUUGUCUUCUAUGAUGUCGACGGUGCAAGCCAGUGAAAUACCACCACUUUCAUCGUUUCCUCACUUAGUCGGUGAUGAGGGUAGUGCCCAUUCACAGAAUGGUGUCACAAUAUUCAAAGCAUUAAGAUACACUGCUGUGCUUUGUGGUGCAGUAUUGUGUGUCGACCCAUUGAUCGAUGACAGAAUCAGAUGGGGAGUUUGACUGGGGCGGUACAUCCUUUAAAAUGCAACGAGGGUGUCCUAAGGUGGGCUCACCGUGGACAGAAACCACGGGUAGAGCAUAAGGGCAAAAGCCUGCUUGAUUUUGAUUUUCAGUAUGAAUACAAACCACGAAAGUGUGGCCUAACGAUCCACUAAUAAAUGACCUGAGUUUCAGGAUAGUGGUGUCAGAAAAGUUACCACAGGGAUAACUGGCUUGUGGCAGCCAAGCGAACAUAGCGACGUUGCUUUUUGAUCCUUCGAUGUCGGCUCUUCCUAUCAUUGGGUAGCAGCGUACCCAAAGCGUUGGAUUGUUCACCCCCUAACAGGGAACGUGAGCUGGGUUUAGAC